rnacentral:tRNA from 1 species
GUGGCUAUGGUAUAAUGGUUAUUACUUCGGCUUGUGGCGCCGACAAUUCGGGUUCAAUUCCCGAUAGCCACCCCA